UAUGUAUUCCUCUGUCCCAAAAUUCUUGUCUUAAAUUUGUCUAAAUACGGAUGUAUCAAGUCACAUUUUAGUAUUAGAUACAUCCGUAUCUAGACAAAUCUAAGACAAGAAUUUUGGGACGGAGGGAGUAUUUU
rfam:Triticum aestivum genome assembly, contig: Triticum_aestivum_CS42_TGACv1_scaffold_643975_T_7AS-0.139048_5DL-0.070315